AAUGAGUAGUCAUAAUAUGAGAAGCCCAAGCCACAUGGGGAGACCACAUGGAGAACUAACUUGCCUCUGUCAAUCCCAUAUGAUCUCCCUGCCAAGUGCCAGCAUCAAAUGCCAACCAUGCUCCAGUGUGACUCAGCACAGUGUUCACAGCCCAUGCUCUCAAGAAUCUCAGCUUAGGAGGAGGCAAAGAGGUAAAGCACAGGUCAACAUGCAGUGUUGGACUACAUAGAAAGUACAUAUCCUUCAUUAGUGCUGGCAAGACAGAUGAAUUAAUGCCUUUCAGGGGUUUCAGAGCAAGAUAGAAGAGGAGUACAUCUCAAAUGCUUUUGAAGUUACAUUUCCAAAGUGAGGUCCCAGCUGGAAGUAUAAAUGGUUCUCCAAUUUUGCAGAUGGAAUUUUAUCCAAUAUUCAGAUGUAUAAUCUGCUUCAAGUAUGUACACAGGGGAAGUAAUAAGAGUACUGUGAAUUCUCAACUGACCAUUUUCUGACACAUUAAAGAAAUAGCAAAGCACUUAUCUCUGAAGUCUCACUUUUUAAAUAUGUUACAAUGAAUUGUGAUCCUGUUUUAUGUAUCUGACUGACAGCACUGGGAAUUAAGUUCCUCAGCCAAUGAAAUAAUAAACCCAAUGCCACGAUAAAACCUACGGUAGAGACUGAUAAGGACUCCAGAUCCAGGCUGCUAAUACUCUUCAAAGUCAUUCAGCUGUGGCUACUACAUGAUGUCUGAGUGUUUCCACAAGGCACUGUUUUGGACAUUGGGAACAUCGAAGUAGAGUGAGCAUCAUCAUGAAUGGAAACACUUUCUCUGAAAAAAGACAUAAAACAAUUGAAAGUCAGCAGUGUCUUUCUUGCAAAAUAUUAUGAAGAUCAGGACAAUUAGAAUUAGGUGCUUUGGGAAUGGAAUUAAAUGAGCUGAUUCAUGUAAAGGGAUUUAACUGGGUGCCGGACCUGUCAUAAACUCUUAACGUGAACAGGAGAGUUACUGUAAAAACUGAGACAACAAAACAGCCGGAGGCAUGAAAAGAAAAAGAAUCCCGCAUGAAUAGCUUGCUAUAUGUAAUUUGGUUAGGAACAAUUCACAGGUUUUGACAGCUUUAUUAGAGUUCCAUUUUAGUAAGAUUCAGGUGAAAGUGAGGUCAUCACUUUAAAACAAAAAUCCUGAGAACAUACCCAGAUGGACUCACAUAAAUGAUGUAUACUAAUGUCGUCAAGUAAAUAUUUUAAAGAGUUAAUUGCUUUCUUUAUUAAAAACUGGAUUUAAAUACUCCAUUAUUUCAUAAGAAUAAAACAACUACAACACCGCCACAACAUAAAAAGUGUUUACCUUAAUGUAUUAUGAACACCAGCAGUGAGUUCCAGUAAUAUCUUGCACUUCUGAAGAUGUGUAAGUAUACUAAGGAACAUGCUUAACUUAGAACUCACUAAUGGAAGUUACAGAGAUUUAUUCAGAUCCAUGUUAGCAUGCUUGAUACCCUUAAGCACACUAACAAUAUACAGCAUCUGCUUUCAGGGAUGUUUUUACCUCUUGUACUAGUUUCAGAAAGCCCAUGUCUGAAUAAUUCCUAAGUAAUGGUUUUUUAGCUUACUCUAUAAUUUUGAUUUUGAGCCUGACUAAAUAAAACCUUUUUAAAUAGACAGUGGUUUUAUUAUUAUUCUUAUUUUACUGAUGCAAACAAUCAAGGUAUGUGCAGUAAGAUGUCUUACCAAAUGUCACCCAUUUAGUAUGAGGCUAAGCUGGAUUUCAAAUGCUAAAUUUAUUCCUCUUACCAUCUUCUGCCUCCCAUAAUGAAGACUAAUUAUCUUUGUGUUGCAAAUGUAGAUUUAUAAGUGCCAAUUAAUAGAAAUUAAAUCCUGGUCAAAAUCCCACUAGAGAAUAGACUUUCCUGCGUUUAUCAAUUCAGCUUCAUUCUCUCUCACUAAAGACUGACUGGUUUAAAGGUUAAAGCCCGUCAGCCCCUGAAACUAAGUGAUAACCAAUCCGUAGAUCAGUGUCAGCUUUAUUAUUAUUCUUCACCAGACACCCCUAAUCAUUUUCUGUGUCUGACAUUUGAAUCCCUGCACAAAAACAAUUUGCACAACUUUAAUCCCCCCUCCCAUUUAAUCCAUCACAUACUGUGACACCUGAUAGUCCCACUGUGAGCAGCCUGUGAAAUAUGUCAGCUUUAUCUCUGAUUUACACUGGAUUCUGCUAACAAUAAAUGCCAUUGCUGAAUGUAUUCUAACCUCUCUAGACUUGCAAGAUUGAAGUAAGUGUCAUUUUCUUUUCGUAAUCAGUGCCUUUUUCUUAGAUGAACACAGAGAACAGUGAGUAUGGAAGUAUCCAACAGUUCAGAGAUGAUUUUAACAAUUUAUGCUACCAAAAUCUGUAGUUUGAUGAGUACAUAAGAGGUAUGAUAAAAUAUUGUUUUCCUGUUUCAACCACAUGUUGGUCUUACCUAGGCUUCAUCUAUAUCCUUUUGUUAUUGGCUUUCUUUGGAAAAUUAGUAUCAACUUUAAACUUUUUGCUACAAUAAUUCACAAAAGAUCCUAUAGGUAGAUGUUAUUUCAGGAACAUAAAUAUCCUGUUGAAGCUAAAAGUGGUGGUAAUAUCUGAAGACUGAUAGCAUUAGGAUAAUAUAGAGUAGUGGUAGGCUUGGGAGAAAGACUUAUAUGGGGA
rnacentral:lncRNA from 1 species